rnacentral:rRNA from 1 species
CAACAGCUAAAAUCUCUGAUCUUAACCUACUUGGAUAACGCUAAUACAUGCACCAAGUUCUGACCUUACGGGAAGAAUGCAUUUUAGAACAAAACCAAGCGUUGCUUUUGUUGACUCAGAAUAACUGAGCGCAUGGCUUGACCACGUGUCUU